CAGUGGCAGGUCUUGCCCGAAGGUGUAUUUCAGGAAGACGGGGGAUGAGCUGAACUAUGCCUUCUCCAGAGCAGGCUAGACAUGUGGGAAGUAAUCUCCAGGCUGGAUGACCAUUGAAUCACCUGGGAGCAUCUUGAAAAGAAGAGAUUCAUGGGCCUCCCGCUGGAUCCACCGAACCAGAACCUCCUGAGAAAAAAGGAAUAAAGCAAGUCCAUGUCAGCUGGAGAGAAAAUAUUCCUAUACAACCAAAGCUAGGAGAGGAACAGUGUGGAGCUGAUUUUGAUUUAAAGAAAAUGUUCAUGGUUAAAUGAAGAAAACAGUGAAAGAAAGACUAAUGGAAACUGCAAGAGGCUGGAAGGUGUUAAUACCUAUCCUUACCCAUCAUUAUGGUCACGGCCAAUGCUCCCAUAACAAAAGACAGUUUCAGGUAUGUCUUUAUCAGCAGUGUGAAAACAAACUAAUACAAUACAUUGGUACCAGGAGUGGGGUGUUGCUGAAAAGAUACCUGAAAAUGUGGAAAUGACUUUGGAGCACAGGUUGGAACAGUUUGGA
rnacentral:lncRNA from 10 species